AUGGCCGGUGGUAGGAAUCCCGAGAACAAGAACACGGAUGGACGGAGCUGCUCCAUGGCGCCGAGGCAGGGGAGGAAGCGGCCAUCGUCCAUGACGUCCCGGUGCUUGAGCGAGGACGGCAUCCUAGAUCUGGGAGGCAGAGACGACGAACUGAGGAAGUUAGGAAUGGCUGUGAGGAGGAGAUGGAGUAGAUGGACGCACCUGAGUCGUCGGAGCCACGCCGAUUGA
rnacentral:rRNA from 1 species